AGCAGCCGCGGUAAUUCCAGCUCCAAUAGCGUAUAUUAAAGUUGUUGCAGUUAAAAAGCUCGUAGUUGAAUUUCGGGAUUGACGUGACGGUCAUGCCUUAAGGGGUAUGAACUGUUACAGUUGAUUCCUCACCUUCUGGAGAAACUUGAUGUCCUUUAUUGGGUGUCUUGCGGAUCCAGGACCUUUACCUUGAAAAAUUAGAGUGUUUAAAGCAGGCAUUUUUGCUCGAAUACAUUAGCAUGGAAUAAUAGAAUAGGACGGCAUGGUUCUAUUUUGUUGGUUUCUAGGAUCACCGUAAUGAUUAAUAGGGAUAGUUGGGGGCAUUAGUAUUCAAUUGUCAGAGUGAAAUUCUUGGAUUUAUUGAAGACUAACUACUGCGAAAGCAUUUGCCAAGGAUGUUUUCAUUAAUCAAGAACGAAAGUUAGGGGAUCGAAGACGAUCAGAUACCGUCGUAGUCUUAACCAUAAACUAUGCCGACUAGGAAUCAGACGAUGUUAAUUUUUAAUGUACUCG
rnacentral:rRNA from 1 species